rnacentral:piRNA from 1 species
UACUACUAUAUAAUUACCACA